rnacentral:lncRNA from 1 species
GCAGGACAAGGGCCGCUUCUGCCUCACCUACGAGGCCUCCAUGACGCGGCUCUUCCGCGAGGGCCGGACGGAGACCGUGCGCUCCUGCACCUCCGAGUCGACCGCCUUCGUGCGGAGCAUGGGGGACGCCGGGCAGAGCGUGAGCACCGCGCCGCCACAUGCCCCUCGCGCUGCACCUUGACCCAAAUCCCUGUCCUUUUGGGUGUCCCCUCCCCUUGGGGACAUCCCCGUCUCCAGCAGAGGCCCCUGCCCCUCGGGGAGGUCCCCGGAGGCAGCACCCGUCACCGCAGGAGGGCCCUGACCCCGAUGGAGGUCCCUGUCCCUUGGGGAUGUCCCCAUCCCUUGGGGAUGUCCCCGUCCCUUGGGACCAUUUCCCCAGAGCCGCGGAGCCGCUGCCAGCCUCAGGCAGGACAGAGGACGUCCCCCCCCGCACAGCGCACCCCGGGGUGGGCAGGUUUUGGGGUGUGCCAGCCCCUGAGCUCGGCUUUCCCCGCAGCGUGCCGAGCGCCAGCGGCUCUUCAAGCUGGCGGCGGAGAAGCACCAGCACAUGUACCGCAUGGCCAUGACCGGCGCCGGCAUCGACCGGCACCUCUUCUGCCUCUACGUGGUGUCCCGAUACCUGGGGGUAGAGUCCCCCUUCCUGGCACAGGUGAGCGGGGCACGGCGCCGGGGUGCGCGCUUUGCUGUGGGGCGCAGCGGGGCACGGGUAGGUGCAGGGGGGCACAGUGGGAUGCAGUGGGGCGCAGCAGGGUGCAGUGGGACACACUGGGGUGCAGUGGGGCACAGUGGGGUGCAGUGGGGUGCAGCAGGGUGCAGCAGUGACCCCGUCCCCACAGGUGCUGUCGGAGCCCUGGCGCCUCUCCACCAGCCAGACGCCGCAGCAGCAGCUGAAGAUGUUCGACCUGGACAAGUACCCGGACCACGUCUCCACCGGCGGCGGCUUCGGCCCGGUUGGCAUCGCUCGGCCACGGGGAGGGGGAUGGGGACCCCCCGGGGGGGACCAUCAGAUCCCGGGCUCCCCCGGCCCCGCUCACAUCCCCACCUCUCGUCCCCCCCCCAGGUCGCCGACGAUGGCUACGGCGUCUCCUACAUCAUUGCUGGCGAGAACCUCAUCACCUUCCACGUCUCCAGCAAGUACUCCAGCCCCGAGACGGACUCGAAGCGUUUCGGGAGGAACAUCCGCCAGGCCAUGCUGGACAUCGCCGAGCUCUUCGACGUGCCGGCCAAGAAGGCGGCGAAGUGAGGGGGCGCGGGCGGCCCCACGGGGGUCCCGGGGGACACGGAGGAGCCGGGACCACGGGGGGCCACGGGGAGAGGGUUGGGGGGGGGGAGCAGGGCCUUGCUUCUCUGUAAAUGCUGCCAAUAAAGGGGCUGCUUCUGCCACCAACCGCGGCCUCUCCGGGGCAUGGCACGGCCAGGGCGGGGGUCCCCGAGCUGCGGGAAGGGGGUGGCCAUGGGGUCCCCGCGGGGUCCCUGCGUCCCGGGGACCCUCCUGCCCGCAGGCAGCGGGUGCGUGCCACGGGGAUAACGAGCACGGCGCGGCGGUGCCGGGGGUGUGCAGCGGGGCACAGCGGCAGGGAGCGGCGCUGAGCCCCCAGCCGUGGUGGCACGGUGCCCACCCGCACCACGGGGCCCGCAGCCCUGGCACAGCGGACGGACGGACGGACGGACAGCAGGAAGCACGGACAGGGCCAGCACGGAGCCCCUCGUGCCUGCAAUAAGGGGCCCUGCGCCGUGGUGGCAGGGGAGGUGAUCCCACAGCGCUGCGCGGGCACCGUGCCCGGAGAGGGGGCUGGUGGGGGCUGGCCCAGGGGUAGGGUCAGGGUUAGGGGUGGAUUGGGGUUAGGGUUGGGGUUGGGGUGAGGGUUAGGGUUAGGGUUACAGUUGGGAUUGGGGUUAGGGUUAGGGUUGGGGUUAGGGGUAGGGGUGGGUCUUAGGGUGAAGGUUAGGGUUCGGGUUUGGGGUUGGGGUCGGGUUUAGGGUUGGUGUUAGUGUUGGGGUUAGGUUUAGGGUUACAGUCAGGUUAGGGUUAGGGUUGUGGUUGGGGUAGGGGUAGGGUGAUGGUCAGGGUUAGGGUUAAGGUUGGGGUUAAUGUUGGGGUUAGGGUUAGCGUUAGGGUUAGGUUUAGGGGCUAGGGUUAGGAUUGGUGUUGGGGUUAGGGUCAGGGUUAGUGUUAGGGUCAGGCUCUGCAGCCCCCAGCCCCUGGGUUCGGCUCCGUGCUCCCCAGAACCCCCUCCUGCAGCCCCCCCUGCCCACCAGGCGCAGGCUGAGCACCCACAGCCCCAUCCUGCACCCCAAAACUGCAUUGGGGUCUCAUCCUGCACCCCAGGCUCUGCCACCCCUCCUGCUGUGCCACCCCCUCCCCCCCCAUGGGGUUUGCUGCAGGAGCCAGCGCUGCCCCUCGGCAUGGCUCAGCCCCACACCUGGGGGGGUCCUGGAUGGGGUUUGGGGCCCCCCAGGUGCCGCCGGGACCCCGAGAGCUGCAGCCUGCCGGCGGUGCCAGGCGGAGCCCGGAGGAAAAGGAGCUGCCGAUGCG